UACGGGGGGUGCAAGCGUUGUUCGGAAUUACUGGGCGUAAAGCGCGUGUAGGCGGUUCGGUAAGUCCGUUGUGAAAGCCCCGAGCUCAACUCGGGAAUUGCGUCCGAAACUGGCGGACUGGAGUCCCGGAGAGGAAGGCAGAAUUCCCAAUGUAGGGGUGAAAUCCGUAGAUAUUGGGAGGAAUACCGGCUGCGAAGGCGGCCUUCUGGACGGUGACUGACGCUGAGACGCGAAAGCGUGGGGAGCAAACAGG
rnacentral:rRNA from 1 species